CAGUCGCCGCGGGAACACAGAGGGUGCAAGCGUUAAUCGGAAUUACUGGGCGUAAAGCGCGCGUAGGUGGUUUGUUAAGUUGGAUGUGAAAGCCCCGGGCUCAACCUGGGAACUGCAUCCAAAACUGGCAAGCUAGAGUACGGUAGAGGGUGGUGGAAUUUCCUGUGUAGCGGUGAAAUGCGUAGAUAUAGGAAGGAACACCAGUGGCGAAGGCGACCACCUGGACUGAUACUGACACUGAGGUGCGAAAGCGUGGGGAGCAAACAGGAUUAGAUACCCCAGUAGUCCCUGUCUCUUAUAC
rnacentral:rRNA from 1 species